rnacentral:rRNA from 1 species
GAUGAACGCUGGCGGCGUGCCUAAUACAUGCAAGUCGAGCGAACGGACGAUAAUCUCGCUUCUCUGGUGUUAGCGACGGACGGGUGAGUAACACGUGGAUAACCUACUUAUAAGACUGGGAUAACUUCGGGAAACCGUAGCUAAUACCGGGUAAUUGUUUUAACCGCAUGGUUCAAAAGUGAAAUACGGUCUUGCUGUCACUUAUAGAUGGAUCCGCGCUGCAUUAGCUAGUUGGUAAGGUAACGGCUUACCAAGUCAACGAUGCAUAGCCGGCCUGAGAGGGUGGUCGGCCAGACUGGAACUGAGACACGGUCCAGACUGCUACGGGAGGCAGCAGUAGGGAAUAUUCCGCAAUGGGCGAUAGCCUGACGGAGCAACGACGCGGGAGUGAUGAAGGUCUUCGGAUCGUAAAACUCUGUUAUUAGGGAAGAACAUAUGUGUAAGUAACUGUGCACAUCUUGACGGUACCUAAUCAGAAAGCCACGGCUAACUACGUG